rnacentral:rRNA from 1 species
UACGUAGGGGGCAAGCGUUGUCCGGAAUCAUUGGGCGUAAAGAGCGUGUAGGCGGCCAGAAAAGUCCGCUGUGAAAACUCGAGGCUCAACUUCGAGCUGUCGGUGGAAACUUUCUGGCUAGAGUCCGGAAGAGGAGAAUGGAAUUCCUGGUGUAGCGGUGAAAUGCGCAGAUAUCAGGAAGAACACCCUUGGCGAAGGCGGUUCUCUGGGACGGUACUGACGCUGAGACGCGAAAGCGUGGGGAGCGAACAGG